UACGGAGGGAGCUAGCGUUGUUCGGAAUUACUGGGCGUAAAGUGUGCGCAGGCGGCCGCGCAAGUCGAGUGUGAAAGCCCCGGGCUUAACUUGGGAAUUGCGCUCGAAACUACGUGGCUGGAGUAUGGCAGAGGAAGGUGGAAUUCCACGUGUAGCGGUGAAAUGCGUAGAGAUGUGGAGGAACACCGAUGGCGAAGGCAGCCUUCUGGGCCAAUACUGACGCUCAUGCACGAAAGCGUGGGGAGCAAACAGG
rnacentral:rRNA from 1 species